rnacentral:tRNA from 1 species
AUAGUUUUAGUUAAAAAAUAACAUUAAUUUGUCAAAUUAAAAUUACCUAAUAGUAAACUAUU